rnacentral:rRNA from 1 species
UACUCCUACGGGAGGCAGCAGUGGGGNAUAUUGCACAAUGGGCGAAAGCCUGAUGCAGCAACGCCGCGUGAGUGAUGAAGGUCUUCGGAUUGUAAAGCUCUGUCUUCUGGGACGAUAAUGACGGUACCAGAGGAGGAAGCCACGGCUAACUACGUGCCAGCAGCCGCGGUAAUACGUAGGUGGCGAGCGUUGUCCGGAAUUACUGGGCGUAAAGGAUGCGUAGGCGGAUAUUUAAGUCAGAUGUGAAACCCCCAGGCUUAACUUGGGGACUGCAUUUGAAACUGGAUAUCUAGAGUGCNGGAGAGGUAAGUGGAAUUCCU